UGGGGGAUAUUGCACAAUGGGCGAAAGCCUGAUGCAGCGACGCCGCGUGGGGGAUGAAGGCCUUCGGGUUGUAAACUUCUCUUGCUCUGAACAAGGCAUGCCUUUGGGGUGUGUUGAGUGUAGGGGUUGAUUAGCGCCGGCUAACUACGUGCCAGCAGCCGCGGUAAUACGUAGGGCGCGAGCGUUGUCCGGAAUUAUUGGGCGUAAAGGGCUUGUAGGUGGCUGGUUGCGUCUGUCGUGAAAGCCCAUGGCUUAACUGUGGGUUUGCGGUGGGUACGGGCUGGCUUGAGUGCAGUAGGGGAGGCUGGAAUUCCUGGUGUAGCGGUGGAAUGCGCAGAUAUCAGGAGGAAUACCGGUGGCGAAGGCGGGUCUCUGGGAUGUUACUGACGCUGAGGAGCGAAAGCGUGGGGAGCGAACAGG
rnacentral:rRNA from 1 species